rnacentral:rRNA from 1 species
UCCAGACUCCUACGGGAGGCAGCAGUGAGGAAUAUUGGUCAAUGGGCGGGAGCCUGAACCAGCCAAGUCGCGUGAGGGAAGACGGUCCUACGGAUUGUAAACCUCUUUUGCCGGGGAGCAACGGGGUCCUUGCGAGGGCCCAAUGAGAGUACCCGGAGAAAAAGCAUCGGCUAACUCCGUGCCAGCAGCCGCGGUAAUACGGAGGAUGCGAGCGUUAUCCGGAUUUAUUGGGUUUAAAGGGUGCGUAGGCGGGCUGUUAAGUCAGCGGUAAAAUGUCGGGGCUCAACCCCGGCCUGCCGUUGAAACUGGCAGUCUCGAGUUGGAGAGAAGUAUGCGGAAUGCGCGGUGUAGCGGUGAAAUGCAUAGAUAUCGCGCAGAACUCCGAUUGCGAAGGCAGUAUGCCGGCUCCACACUGACGCUGAGGCACGAAAGCGUGGGUAUCGAACAGGAUUAGAUACCCUAGUACAC